rnacentral:lncRNA from 1 species
UCCUUAUAUACAUAUGUAUAUGCCCUAUACCACUUGUACCUUGUGCCCCAUUUCCUACCUAACCAAUCAAGCUGCUAAUAAUUUAGUAUAUGAUUAAAGUAAUUUCCACAAUUUUAAUUCUUAUUAUUUUUCAAGAUCGAGAUUCGAGGGUACACAAACCUCUAAGAACAUCUACUAUCUAAUCAUUUGAAUAUACGACCCGACCCGAUAUCAACGAGCCAUAAAAUGCACAAAAGAAAUAAUUGAGCAAUUUCAUAAUUAAGUAGCAUGCAUCCAUCAAAUGCCAAGGUUUUGUGUGUG